GCGGAGGGCCGGACGGCCGCGGGGCAACUCGAGGAAAGUCCGGACUCCAUCAGGCAGCGGUGCCGGGUAACGCCCGGCCGGGGCAACCCGAGGGACAGCGCCACAGAGAACAGACCGCCGGGACGCAGUCCCGGUAAGGGUGAAACGGUGGGGCAAGAGCCCACCGGGGGGCCGGCAACGGCGCCCGCAUGGCAAGCCCCACCGGGAGCAAUGCCGAAUAGGGGCCGCGCGCCGCCCCUCCCGCAAGGGAGGACGGCAGGGAUGCUUGAUCCCGAGCGGUCCGGGUUGGCAGCAUGAGUGGCGGAGCAAUCCGUCGCCACAGAUGAAUGGCCGUCGCCGGGGCGCAAGCUCCGGGCACAGAAUCCGGCUUACAGGCCCUCCGCGCAU
rnacentral:RNase_P_RNA from 1 species